AGUGAACGCUGGCGGUAGGCCUAACACAUGCAAGUCGAACGGCAGCACAGUAAGAGCUUGCUCUUACGGGUGGCGAGUGGCGGACGGGUGAGGAAUACAUCGGAAUCUACUUUUUCGUGGGGGAUAACGUAGGGAAACUUACGCUAAUACCGCAUACGACCUACGGGUGAAAGCAGGGGAUCUUCGGACCUUGCGCGAUUGAAUGAGCCGAUGUCGGAUUAGCUAGUUGGCGGGGUAAAGGCCCACCAAGGCGACGAUCCGUAGCUGGUCUGAGAGGAUGAUCAGCCACACUGGAACUGAGACACGGUCCAGACUCCUACGGGAGGCAGCAGUGGGGAAUAUUGGACAAUGGGCGCAAGCCUGAUCCAGCCAUACCGCGUGGGUGAAGAAGGCCUUCGGGUUGUAAAGCCCUUUUGUUGGGAAAGAAAAGCAGCAGGUUAAUACCCCGCUGUUCUGACGGUACCCAAAGAGUAAGCACCGGCUAACUUCGUGC
rnacentral:rRNA from 1 species